AUUUAGUUGAAUGAUAAAGUUGUUUAUACAAAAGACUGGCUCUUUAAUUUUUAUGUUAAAGUUGUUAUUUCCUUGUUGACUGUUGUCUGUUGUUAAAAAAGCAAGUAAAAAGGUGCACAUAAUGACAACAGAUUUAUCUUUAGAACUGUUUGCAAAACCUUUGGUUUGGAUACAAAAGACUAAGUGAAAAUGAUACUGGAAAGACUGUUUACUCCUGUCCCAAUCUAACCUAGUGGGUUCAAAAAGAAAGGCACGCGCAGGAAACAUAUGGGGGUUAAAAGAAUUAGCCUUUUUUGAAGUAAUAGUUGAACUCGUAACCAGCUCGUAUGAAAGAAUUUCUCGAUGUGAAAUAGUUAAUUUUAUUCAACAACGCCAAGAAACAGAGCUCGCUUAAGAAACAGAAAAGA